rnacentral:lncRNA from 10 species
UUGGCAAAGACGGCAGCACCACCUUAGCCCGGGAGCCAGAAACACAGAAUGUGACGCUCACGUACACAGAGAAGGCCAAGGUCACAGCACGAGAGGUGUCAAGGGAGGAGCAUGAGAGAUUAUCAAGAGAAGAAAAAGGGAGCUCGGAGCUCCGUAAGGGAGAGAGUGGCAGCAGCAGAUCAAACCCCGGAGCCCCUGCCCUGGGUGGGUGCCAGCUUCCCUGAGACAUUCCGUGCCUGUGACAUUGCUGUGUGCAGAGAUGAACGAGACGGGAAAAGCCACUGCACCCUGAAGAACUACAAUAUGGUGGGGGUGGCAGAUGCCAAUCAAUG